rnacentral:rRNA from 1 species
GGCGAAGGGGGCUAGCGUUGUUCGGAAUUACUGGGCGUAAAGCGCGUGUAGGCGGUUGUUUAAGUCAGGUGUGAAAGCCUUGAGCUCAACUCAAGAAAUGCACUUGAUACUGGAUGACUAGAGGACCGGAGAGGAUAGUGGAAUUCCCAGUGUAGUGGUGAAAUACGUAGAGAUUGGGAAGAACACCAGUGGCGAAGGCGGCUAUCUGGACGGUUUCUGACGCUAAGACGCGAAAGCGUGGGGAGCAAACAGG